rnacentral:rRNA from 1 species
UAGGGAAUCUUCCACAAUGGACGCAAGUCUGAUGGAGCAACGCCGCGUGAGUGAAGAAGGUUUUCGGAUCGUAAAGCUCUGUUGUUGGUGAAGAAGGAUAGAGGCAGUAACUGGUCUUUACUUGACGGUAAUCAACCAGAAAGUCACGGCUAACUACGUGCCAGCAGCCGCGGUAAUACGUAGGUGGCAAGCGUUGUCCGGAUUUAUUGGGCGUAAAGCGAGCGCAGGCGGAAUGAUAAGUCUGAUGUGAAAGCCCACGGCUCAACCGUGGAACUGCAUCGGAAAAUGUCAGUAUUGAGUGCAGAAGAGGAGAGUGGAAUUCCAUGUGUAGCGGUGGAAUGCGUAGAUAUAUGGAAGAGCACCAGUGGCGAAGGCGGCUCUCUGGUCUGCAACUGACGCUGAGGCUCGAAAGCAUGGGUAGCGAACAGG